AUCACUUCUCGGCCUUUUGGCUAAGAUCAAGUGCAGAAUACCUAGUACAGGGCAUGGCACACGGUAGAAGCUCAGUACAUAUUUGAGUAUUCUUUUUUUAAAUUGGCUUUUCCAUUCAUGUGGUGGAUGCCACAAAAUAGAGCCAGAAAUUGAAAGGUAAAGCUUACAGAAAAAUGGUUUCUACAUU